GUGGGGAAUCUUGCGCAAUGGGCGAAAGCCUGACGCAGCCAUGCCGCGUGAAUGAUGAAGGUCUUAGGAUUGUAAAAUUCUUUCACCGGGGACGAUAAUGACGGUACCCGGAGAAGAAGCCCCGGCUAACUUCGUGCCAGCAGCCGCGGUAAUACGAAGGGGGCUAGCGUUGCUCGGAAUUACUGGGCGUAAAGGGCGCGUAGGCGGACAGUUUAGUCAGAGGUGAAAGCCCAGGGCUCAACCUUGGAAUUGCCUUUGAUACUGGCUGUCUUGAGUACGGGAGAGGUGAGUGGAACUCCGAGUGUAGAGGUGAAAUUCGUAGAUAUUCGGAAGAACACCAGUGGCGAAGGCGACUCACUGGCCCGUUACUGACGCUGAGGCGCGAAAGCGUAGGGAGCAAACAGGAUUAGAAACCCCGGUAGUCC
rnacentral:rRNA from 1 species